GUUGGGCACAGUGAUGAGUGCCUGUAGUUUUAGCUACUAGGAAGGCUGAGGUGGGAGAAUUGCUUGAGAUCAAGAGUUUGAGGCUGCAGUGUGCUAUGAUUGUGCUUGUGAAUAGCUACUGCACUCUCACCUGGGCAACACAGCAAGAAAUUGUCUCUA
rfam:Nomascus leucogenys chromosome 2, whole genome shotgun sequence.